GAACCAUGGUAUUGAGCGAGAGGCCUUGUCGGCACUGGAUAUGGCAGAUAUAGUGUGGUUGACAUAUAUUAUUAUUAUUAUCACUGCUAAAUU